GAAAGUAAGCAAGGGCAGACGGUGGAUGCCUUGGCUCUCGGAGGCGACGAAGGACGUGAUAAGCUGCGAAAAGCCCGGGGGAGGCGCAAAUAGCCCUUGAUCCCGGGAUAUCCGAAUGGGGCAACCCGGCAGGUUGAAGGCCUGUCAUCCCGAAAGGGAGGCGAACGUGGGGAACUGAAACAUCUAAGUACCCAUAGGAGGAGAAAAUAAACAAUGAUUCCGUAAGUAGUGGCGAGCGAACACGGAAGAGCCCAAACCCAUGUCGUCUAGGCGACACGGGGGUUGUAGGACCACGACGUGGCAAGAUAGAGUCAAGUGGAACGCCUUGGAAAAGGCGGUCAUAGAGGGUGAAAACCCCGUACACGACUGACGAUUGAAGCCUAGUGGCAUCCUGAGUAGCGCGGGGCACGAGAAAUCUUGCGUGAAACAGCGGGGCCCAUCCCGUAAGGCUAAAUACUCCCGAGAGACCGAUAGCGAACCAGUACCGUGAGGGAAAGGUGAAAAGCACUUCGAACAGAAGAGUGAAAUAGUUCCUGAAACCGUGCGCCUACAAGCGGUCGGAGCUGCUUAAAGCAGUGACGGCGUGCCUUUUGCAUAAUGAACCUACGAGUUGCCUUUGCCGGCAAGGUUAAGUGUGACGACACACGUAUCCGAAGCGAAAGCGAGUCUGAAGAGGGCGUAUAGUCGGCAGUGGCAGACGCGAAACCAAGUGAUCUACCCUUGGCCAGGUUGAAGGCUGGGUAACACCAGCUGGAGGACCGCACCAAUAAGCGUUGAAAAGCUUCUGGAUGAGCUGAGGGUAGGGGUGAAAGGCUAAUCAAACUUGGAGAUAGCUCGUACUCCCCGAAAUGCAUUUAGGUGCAGCCUUGUGGGUUACUGAUGUGAGGUAGAGCGACUGAUAAGAUGCGAGGGCUUCACCGCCUAUCAAGUCUUGACAAACUCCGAAUGCGCAUCAGUUUUACCUCAGGAGUGAGGGCAUGGGUGCUAAGGUCCGUGCCCGAGAGGAGAAGAAUCCGGACCACCUGCUAAGGUCCCGAAAUGACAGCUAAGUUAAACUAACGAAGUCUGACUGCUAAGACAGCUAGGAUGUUGGCUUGGAAGCAGCCAUUCAUUUAAAGAGUGCGUAACAGCUCACUAGUCGAGGAGUUUGGCGUGGAUAAUAAUCGGGCAUAAGUAUUCUACCGAAGCUUUGGGAUGAGAAAUCAUCGGUAGGGGAGCAUUCCACUCGGCGUCGAAGGUGAAGCGCGAGCUUUGCUGGAGCGUGUGGAAAAGCAAAUGUAGGUAUAAGUAACGAUAAAGGGGGUGAGAAACCCCCUCGCCGAAAGACUAAGGUUUCCUGAUCAACGCUAAUCGGAUCAGGGUAAGUCGGGUCCUAAGGCUCAGCCGAACGGCGAGGCCGAUGGCAGAACCGGUUAAUAUUCCGGUACUACCUGUGGGAGUGACGUGGAGACGGAGUCGUGACAGCGCCGCGGACUGACGGAAUAGUCCGUUGAAGGGUGUAGAUGCUGAUUGUUCCAGGCAAAUCCGGAGCAAGAGUCGAACCUGACAGUAUGGAGCGUUCUUAGAACAAUCCAAUAGUGCGUGUAAUCAUACUUCCAAGAAAAUCCGCUAAACUUAAUCCUGCAGGUACCCGUACCGCAAACGGACACACGUAGUCGGGUUGAAUAUACUAAGGCGCUUGAGUGAUUCACGGUUAAGGAACUAGGCAAAUUGACCCUGUAACUUCGGGAUAAAGGGUCCCUACUGAGAGGUAGGGCGCAGAGAAUAGGUCCAGGCAACUGUUUAACAAAAACACAUGGCUGUGCGAAAUGGAAACAUGAUGUAUACAGCCUGACACCUGCCCGGUGCCGGAAGGUUAAGAGGAGAUGUCAUCCGCGAGGAGAAGCGUUGAAUUGAAGCCCCGGUAAACGGCGGCCGUAACUAUAACGGUCCUAAGGUAGCGAAAUUCCUUGUCGGGU
rnacentral:rRNA from 1 species